rnacentral:rRNA from 1 species
AACUGCGAGUGAAGCGGGAAAAGCUCAAAUUUAAAAUCUAAUGGUCCUUGGCCAUUCGAGUUGUAAUUUAGAGAAGCGUCUUCCGCGCCAGACCAUGUACAAGUCUCCUGGAAYGGAGCGUCAUAGAGGGUGAGAAUCCCGUCUUUGACAUGGACCCUUGGUGCUUCUGUGAUGCGCUCUCAAAGAGUCGAGUUGUUUGGGAAUGCAGCUCAAAAUGGGUGGUGAACUCCAUCUAAGGCUAAAUAUUGGCGAGAGACCGAUAGCGAACAAGUACCGUGAGGGAAAGAUGAAAAGCACUUUGGAAAGAGAGUGAAACAGUACGUGAAAUUGUUGAAAGGGAAACACUUGAAGUCAGUCGCGUCGAUCGAGACUCAGCCUUGCCUYGGCUUGGCGUACUUCUCGACUUGACGGGCCAGCAUCAAUUUCGUCCCUCGGAUAAUGGCAGGGGAAAGGUGGCACCUUCRCGGGUGUGUUAUAGUCUCUUGUCGCAUGCGAGGGGUGGGAUUGAGGAACUCAGCACGCACCUCACGGUGUCGGGGCUUCGGCCC